UACAGAGGUCUCAAGCGUUGUUCGGAUUCAUUGGGCGUAAAGGGUGCGUAGGCGGCGCGGUAAGUCGGGUGUGAAAGCCCGCGGCUCAACCGUGGAAGUGCACUCGAAACUGCCGAGCUAGAGUCUCGGAGAGGAAGGUGGAAUGCUUGGUGUAGAGGUGAAAUUCGUAGAUAUCAAGCAGAACACCUGUGGCGAAGGCGGCCUUCUGGACGAUGACUGACGCUGAGACGCGAAAGCGUGGGGAGCAAACAGG
rnacentral:rRNA from 1 species